UACGUAGGGGGCAAGCGUUGUCCGGAUUUAUUGGGCGUAAAGAGCGUGUAGGCGGCCAAACAGGUCCACUGUGAAAACUCGAGGCUCAACCUCGAGAGGUCGGUGGAAACCGUCUGGCUAGAGUCCGGAAGAGGAGAGUGGAAUUCCGAGUGUAGAGGUGAAAUUCGUAGAUAUUCGGAGGAACACCAGUGGCGAAGGCGGCUCACUGGCUCGGUACUGACGCUGAGGUGCGAAAGCGUGGGGAGCAAACAGG
rnacentral:rRNA from 1 species